rnacentral:rRNA from 1 species
GACGAACGCUGGCGGCGUGCCUAAUACAUGCAAGUCGAACGCACAGUUUAUACCGUAGCUUGCUACACCAUAGACUGUGAGUUGCGAACGGGUGAGUAACGCGUAGGUAACCUGCCUGGUAGCGGGGGAUAACUAUUGGAAACGAUAGCUAAUACCGCAUAAUAUUAAUUAUUGCAUGAUAAUUAAUUGAAAGGUGCAAUUGCACCACUACCAGAUGGACCUGCGUUGUAUUAGCUAGUAGGUGAGGUAACGGCUCACCUAGGCGACGAUACAUAGCCGACCUGAGAGGGUGGUCGGCCACACUGGGACGGAGACACGGCCCAGACUCCUACGGGAGGCAGCAGUAGGGAAUCUUCGGCAAUGGACGAAAGUCUGACCGAGCAACGCCGAGUGAGUGAAGAAGGUUGUCGGAUCGUAAAGCUCUGUUGUAAGGGAAGAACGGGUGUGAGAGUGGAAAGUUCACACUGUGACGGUAUCUUACCAGAAAGGGACGGCUAACUACGUG